UGGGGAAUUUUGGACAAUGGGCGAAAGCCUGAUCCAGCAAUGCCGCGUGUGUGAAGAAGGCCUUCGGGUUGUAAAGCACUUUUGUCCGGAAAGAAAUCCUUGGCUCUAAUACAGUCGGGGGAUGACGGUACCGGAAGAAUAAGCACCGGCUAACUACGUGCCAGCAGCCGCGGUAAUACGUAGGGUGCAAGCGUUAAUCGGAAUUACUGGGCGUAAAGCGUGCGCAGGCGGUUUGCUAAGACCGAUGUGAAAUCCCCGGGCUCAACCUGGGAACUGCAUUGGUGACUGGCAGGCUAGAGUAUGGCAGAGGGGGGUAGAAUUCCACGUGUAGCAGUGAAAUGCGUAGAGAUGUGGAGGAAUACCGAUGGCGAAGGCAGCCCCCUGGGCCAAAUACUGACGCUCAUGCACGAAAGCGUGGGGAGCAAAACAGGAUUAGAUACCUUGGUAGUCCACGCCCUAAAACGAUGUCAACUAGUUGUUGGGGGAUUCAUUUCCUUAGUAACGUAGCUAACGCGUGAAGUUGACCGCCUGGGGAGUACGGUCGCAAGAUUAAAACUCAAAUGAAUUGACGGGGUCAUAGCUG
rnacentral:rRNA from 1 species